GACGAACGCUGGCGGCGUGCUUAACACAUGCAAGUCGAACGGAAAGGCCCUGCUUGCAGGGUACUCGAGUGGCGAACGGGUGAGUAACUCGUGGGUGAUCUGCCCUGCACUUCGGGAUAAGCCUGGGAAACUGGGUCUAAUACCUGAUAUGACCUUCCAUGUAGUGUGGGGGGUGGAAAGAUUUAUUGGUGUGGGAUGAGCCCGCGGCCUAUCAGCUUGUUGGUGGGGUAAUGGCCUACCAAGGCGUCGACGGGUAGCCGGCCUGUGAGGGUGGACGGCCACAUUGGGACUGAGGUACGGCCCAGACUCCUACGGGAGGCAGCAGUGGGGAAUAUUGCACAAUGGGCGGAAGCAUUAUGCAGGGACGCCGGGUGGGGGAUGACGGCCUUCGGGUUGUAAACCUCUUUCGACAGGGACGAAGCUUCGGUGACGGUACCUGUAUAAGAAGCACCGGCUAACUACGUG
rnacentral:rRNA from 1 species